rnacentral:lncRNA from 1 species
UUUUUUUUUUUUUUUAAUACCACCAACAGAUAUAUCAGGUACUGUUUCUCACAUGAAACAGGAACAAUUCUGUGUAAAGUAAAGUAGAAUUCUGUUUCAAUGGGAAUUCAUGCUUGGGAAAGUAUUGCUGUACUUUAUUAAGUCACUCUGUUCUGGGAUCAUAGAGAAGCAGGGGACCAUGUAGCCCACGUUAAAAUGACCUAUUAAAGCAAGUGCCUCCUUAGGAUUGCUAGAAUAUGCAUUUUUGCUCCCAGUAUCUAGGAUAUUUCUCAGUACACACUAAGAACACAACGUCUGUUGAAGUAUUUAAUUUGUUCAUGGAAAGUAUGACCUAACCUCGUAACCUAGAGGUUUUUAGAAUGCUGUGGUUCACUAUCAUCCCAAUAAGGGUUAUGUGAUGACACUGUGUGCCCAGAAUUGGGCGGGGGGUGGGGAGAGCAAUCCCUGUAUAACAGAAUAAUAUUGCAUUUCCUUUUUGACCAAGAAGUUCCAAUCCUAAAAUCUCCCUUGAAGAUACAACUCAACCAGUAAGAAAAUACAUAUGCAUAACACUGUAACCAUUUUUAAUUGCAAAGUAAUGUGACAACCUAACAGAUAUAGAAAAAUGGUUGAAUGAAGAAUGGUACAUCCACACACUGGAUGAAGUUCUAGAAAAGGGCAGGAAAAGGAGUUCCCGUCGUGGCGCAGUGGUUAACGAAUCCGACUAGGAACCAUGAGGUUGCGGGUUCGAUCCCUGCCCUUGCUCAGUGGGUUAACGGUCCGGCGUUGCCGUGAGCUGUGGUGUAGGUUGCAGACGCGGCUCAGAUCCCGUGUUGCUGUGGCUCUGGCGUAGGCCGGUGGCUACAGCUCCGAUUCAACCCCUAGCCUGGGAACCUCCAUAGGCCAUGGGUGUGGCCCUAAAAAGACAAAAAAAAAAAAUGUAUUUGAUAAAAUUACAGCUGAAAAUUUGAAGGUGAAGAAAUAAUCAUAUUUCUAUGUAUAGAAAGUAUAGAUUCCCAAAUAAGAUGAACCCAAAGGGACAUACACCAAGACAUAUAAUUAAAAUGGCAAAAAUUGAAGAUAAAGAGAGUACUUUAAGUAGGAGAAAAACAAAGACUCACAUAUAAGGGAACUCCCAUGAGACUAUCAGUUGAUUUUUGUACAGAANGAUGUGGCUAAAAUUUUGCCUUUUUUUUUUUUUUUUUUUUUUUUUUUGCUAUUUCUUUGGGCCGUUCCCAUGGCAUAUGGAGGUUCCCAGGCUAGGGGUCGAAUCGGAGAUGCAGCCCCCGGCCUACGCCAGAGCCACAGCUACACAGGAUCUGAGCUGUGUCUGCAACCUACACCACAGCUCACGGCAACGCCGGACUGUUAACCCAUUGAGCAAGGGCAGGGAUCAAACCUGCGACCUCAUGGUUCCUAGUCGGAUUCGUUAACCACUGCGCCACGACGGUAACUCCUAUCUUAGGCUUUCAAUGACCUGGAUUGUCCAUGUGUGGAGAGGGGAAAAAAGUGAGCGAGAGAGGGAACAAAAUAGAAAGACAGAGAGAAACAAAGAAAAUUCUAGAAGUUCUUCUUUUAAUGCAUUGGUUAAUUAAUCAAUGAAUUUUGGGUUAUGCACAGGCUGCGGCGUCUCUGUAAUUAGAAAAAAAACAAGUCUUUGUGCUUUUGGAGAAUGUUUUGAGGCUGGAAAGUACAGGCCUUUGCUGUUUAAGUCUCUCUUUUCUCCCCAAGACCCGGGCAGGCCACAGGUAUUUCAGUGUUAAAUAAACAGGCCUGUGAGCCUGGCUCAGGACACCCUGCUGAGAGCGUGUCCUUAAUGACAACAGUGCCACACAUUUAUUCUACACUGACCCCACUGACCCUCAAAAGUUUGUUCCCUCAACUGGGUCUCCUUGUCCCUUUCACGGGCCUGAAUUCCCCACACAAAGCGCUUGUCACAUCUACAGGCCUCUUGAAACUCGACGGGGAUGGGAAGAGAGGGGGGUUUGGCAAGAAGCUGAAAGUGGCCAAACCUUCAUCCUCCACCUAAAACCCAGUGGGGCAUUUGCAUGUUAAACCGUCCAGCAAGUUUCAGGUUCCUCUCCUCUAGCCCAACCCCCGGCUCACUGUACAGAAAAUUUUUAGGCCAGAAAGAAGUGGCAUGAUAAAGCGCUGAAAAGGUAAAACCUAUAACUUAGGAUGCAUCACCCAGCAAGGUUAUAAUUCAGAAUUGAAUAAGAAAUAAAGAACUUCUCAGACAAGCAAAAACUAAGAGUUCAUCAAUACUAAACUGGCCCUACAAGAAGUGUUAAAAGGUCUUUUCUAAGUGGUGAAGGCUACAAGAAGAUGUAAAGAAUUUAUAGGAAAAGAAACAUACCACUAGUAAAAGCAAAUAUAUAGUAAAGAUCAUGGAUCAAUUACCUGAAUAAGCUAGUAUGAAGAUUAAAAGACAAAAAUUUUAAAUUAACUGUAACUCAGUAAACAGUUAAGGGACAGACAUGAAGAUGUAAAAUAUGAAAUCAUAAAACCAAAACAUGGGAGAGGGGAGUCGAAAAUGCAGCUCUUUCAAACUGUGUUUCAACUUAAAUGACAAUCAGCUUAAAUCAAGUAGAUACAGUUACAGAUCAACAUACAUGAACUUGAAGGUAACCAAAAACCCACAACAGAUACACACACACAAAAAAAAAAAAACAGAGAGAAAAGAGCACAAGCACAUCACCAAAGAAAAUCAUCAAACCACAAGGGAAGAAACCAAAAGAAAGAAAGAACAGAAAAGAAUGACAAAAACAGAGAACAAGUAACAAAAUGACAGUAAGUACUUACCUGUCUAUAGUCAUUUUAUUUUUAAAAUUUUUAUGGCUGUACCUGAGGCAUAUGGAAGUUCUUGGGCCAGGGACUGAAUCCAAGCCACAGCUGUAGCAAUGCCAGAAACUUUAACCCAUUGUGCCAGACUGGGGAUUGAACCCAAACCUUGAAGCAACUUGAGCCACCACAGUGGGAACUCCAUUGCUCAUUUUAAAUGCCAAUGGAAAAAAUGUUCCAAUCAGAAUACAUGAGGUAGCUGACUGGGUAUAAAAACAGCACCCAACUAUAUGCUGCCUACAAAUACUCACUUCAGAGCUAAAGACAGGCACAGACUGAAAGUGAGGGCAUGAAAAAGCUAUUUCAUGCAAAUUAAAAUGAAAAGAAAUCUGGAUAGCAUUACUUAUAUCAGAAAAAAGUAGACUUUAAAACAAAGUCUAUAACAAAGGCAAAGAAGGGUAUUAUAUAAUGAUAAAGAGAUAAAUACAAGAAAGGGUAUAACACUCAUUAGCAUAUAUGCACCUAACAUACAAACAUCUAAAUGUAUAAAGAUAGAUAUAAAGGGAGAAACUAACAGUAAUACAGUAAUAGUAGAGGGCAUUAACAUUCUACUUACAUCUCGAUCAUUCAGACAGAAAAAUUUAUAAGGAAACAGUGGUCUUAAAUGACAUAUUAGACCAGCUGGACUUAAUAGAUAUCUACAGGACAUUCCAUCCCCAAACAUCAGAAUACAUAUUCUUUUUAAGUACACAUUGAAAGUUCUCCAAAAUAGAGCACAUGUUAGACCACAAAACAAGUCUCAAUACAUUUAAGAAAACUGAAAUAAUAUCAAACACCUUUUCCAACCAGAAUGCUAUGAGACUAGAGAACAACUACAAGAAAAAAAACCUGCAACCACAAACAAGAGUUUAAGAUGGAAUUAUACCAAGUAUUCUUUUCCCACAGCAGUGGUAUAAAGCUAGAAAUCAAUUUCAGGAAGAAAAAUGGGGAAAAAAAAA